rnacentral:rRNA from 1 species
AAAAACAAUGUAAUUAUUACAACUUUCAACAACGGAUCUCUUGGUUCUGGCAUCGAUGAAGAACGCAGCGAAAUGCGAUACGUAGUGUGAAUUGCAGAAUUCAGUGAAUCAUCGAAUCUUUGAACGCACAUUGCGCCCUUUGGUAUUCCAAAGGGCAU